CGUAGGGCGUAGCGUUAUCCGGAUUUACUGGGCGUAAAGGGUGCGUAGGCGGUCUUUCUAAGUCAGGAGUUAAAGUACUACGGCUCAACCGUAGUAAGCUCCUGAUACUGUCUGACUUGAGUGCAGGAGAGGAAAGCGGAAUUCCCAGUGUAGCGGUGAAAUGCGUAGAUAUUGGGAGGAACACCAGUAGCGAAGGCGGCUUUCUGGACUGUAACUGACGCUGAGGCACGAAAGCGUGGGAGCAAACAGGAUU
rnacentral:rRNA from 1 species